UCUUAUGCACAUGCCUACAACAUUAAUGCAUCGGAUCCCAUCAAAACUCCUCAGUUAAGCACGCUUGGACUAGAGUAGUACUAGGAUAGAUGACCUCUCGAGAAGUCCUAGUGUUUUAUAUGCC
rnacentral:rRNA from 1 species